rnacentral:rRNA from 1 species
GAUGAACGCUGGCGGCGUGCCUAAUACAUGCAAGUCGAGCGAACGGACGAGAAGCUUGCUUCUCUGAUGUUAGCGGCGGACGGGUGAGUAACACGUGGAUAACCUACCUAUAAGACUGGGAUAACUUCGGGAAACCGGAGCUAAUACCGGAUAAUAUUUUGAACCGCAUGGUUCAAAAGUGAAAGACGGUCCUGCUGUCACUUAUAGAUGGAUCCGCGCUGCAUUAGCUAGUUGGUAAGGUAACGGCUUACCAAGGCAACGAUGCAUAGCCGACCUGAGAGGGUGCUCGGCCACACUGGAACUGAGACACGGUCCAGACUCCUACGGGAGGCAGCAGUAGGGAAUCUUCCGCAAUGGGCGAAAGCCUGACGGAGCAACGCCGCGUGAGUGAUGAAGGUCUUCGGAUCGUAAAACUCUGUUAUUAGGGAAGAACAUAUGUGUAAGUAACUGUGCACAUCUUGACGGUACCUAAUCAGAAAGCCACGGCUAACUACGUG